GACGUAGGUGGCGAGCGUUGUUCGGAAUCACUGGGCAUAAAGCGCGCGUAGGCGGCCAAGUCAGUCGGGUGUGAAAUCCCUCGGCUCAACCGAGGAACUGCGCCCGAUACUGCAUGGCUUGAGGUCCGGAGGGGAGAGUGGAAUUCCCGGUGGAGCGGUGAAAUGCGUAGAGAUCGGGAAGAACGCCGGCGGCGAAAGCGACUCUCUGGUCGGAAUCUGACGCUGAGGCGCGAAAGCUAGGGGAGCAAACGGGAUUAGAUACCCCGGUAGUCCUAGCCAUAAACGAUGGGCACUAGGUACUGGUCGUUCCUAUGCGGUCAGUGCUGGAGCGAAUGUUUUAAGUGCCCCGCCUGGGAAGUACGGCCGCAAGGCUAAA
rnacentral:rRNA from 1 species